UGGGGAAUAUUGCGCAAUGGAGGCAACUCUGAUGCAGCAACGCCGCGUGCGGGAAGACAGCCCUAGGGUUGUAAACCGCUUUCAGCAGGGAAGAAACUGACGGUACCUGCAGAAGAAGAUGCGGCCAACUACGUGCCAGCAGCCGCGGUGACACGUAGGCAUCAAGCGUUAUCCGGAUUUAUUGGGCGUAAAGAGCUCGUAGGCGGUUCGGUAAGUCGGGUGUGAAAACUCUGGGCUCAACCCAGAGAGGCCACUCGAUACUGCUGUGACUUGAGUACGGUAGGGGAGCGGGGAAAUUCCUGGUGUAGCGGUGAAAUGCGCAGAUAUCAGGAGGAACACCAGUGGCGAAGGCGGCUCACUGGCUCGAUACUGACGCUGAGGUGCGAAAAGCGUGGGGAGCAAAACAGGAUUAGAUACCCUGGUAGUCCACGCCGUAAACGAUGAAUGUUAGCCGUCGGCAGUAUACUGUUCGGUGGCGCAGCUAACGCAUUAAA
rnacentral:rRNA from 1 species